AGCAGAUAUAUUCUCAGUGUGCUUAGAGAGAGAAAUAUCUGCCUCUACCUAGGAUCGAACUCAUAGCCUCCUGACCAUGAAAGCCUCAGAUAUGGCAAAGCAAAAAAUGGGAAUGAAGAAGUGGAGAUUUGUGUAGUUGAAAAAGAAACUAAUGAAACUAUGGACAGGAGUUGAAAUGACUACUACCUACCAUACUAUCUAUGGCUACAUGUGAAAAGAAAAUGGAGCCAGGUAAUACCUGAGAACAUGGUGGCUUACUAUUGCUGGAACCACUGACAGUGUUGAUCUAAAGCCUGACAGGAGUGUGAUUGAACUUUACUAACAUAGAGGGACUUCUCUUCCCGCCACCCAAUGGAUUACAGAAUGUGAAAAAUAUAUGACUAUGAAAAUACUUUAAUAUUCUUGGCAGCAUAGCUAAGACAUUCAAAACUUUUUUUCUGCUAUAAAGAAGCCUGGAUUUUCCUACUUCAGGAAGAUAAGAAAUACUUCUGUCUUGCAAAACUGGCAAAGCCACCCUCCUAGGCUUUGAAAACAGGAGGCAAGAAAGAAUUUGGAAAAAGGAAUUCCUUCUGGCUUGUGCAGACCUUCAGCUUUAAAUGGCUUGAAGAGUAAUGGAGCUGAAGUCCUGGAGUGAGACUUUUCAGAACAAUAACUUGGCCUCUUGAGCAAUAUUUAUGUGUCUAUCUUUUGCAGACACAAAACUCUUUAAUAUUCUAUUUGGGGAACAUUGAGAAUAUUAAAUUUUUCCCUAAAGUAAACAAGGUUAAUAAAAAUGCCAUUAGAGUUUGCAUUUGCUCAUCAUAAAUAAACAACUUGGUUUUGAUAUAAAUAGUUAUUUGCUAUAUUCAUCUUCUUUUUGAUAUUGAAGUGAACAGCUUGUUCCAAUGGUGAAAUUCAAUUUUUUUUACUACCGGUUCUGUGGGCAUGACU